UGGGGAAUAUUGCACAAUGGGCGCAAGCCUGAUGCAGCCAUGCCGCGUGUAUGAAGAAGGCCUUCGGGUUGUAAAGUACUUUCAGCGGGGAGGAAGGCGAUAAGGUUAAUAACCUUGUCGAUUGACGUUACCCGCAGAAGAAGCACCGGCUAACUCCGUGCCAGCAGCCGCGGUAAUACGGAGGGUGCAAGCGUUAAUCGGAAUUACUGGGCGUAAAGCACACGCAGGCGGUCUGUCAAGUCGGAUGUGAAAUCCCCGGGCUCAACCUGGGAACUGCAUUCGAAACUGGCAGGCUAGAGUCUUGUAGAGGGGGGUAGAAUUCCAGGUGUAGCGGUGAAAUGCGUAGAGAUCUGGAGGAAUACCGGUGGCGAAGGCGGCCCCCUGGACAAAGACUGACGCUCAGGUGCGAAAGCGUGGGGAGCAAACA
rnacentral:rRNA from 1 species